rnacentral:snoRNA from 1 species
AUGUGAUGACGUACGCUUUGGAAUUGACUGCCGACCUGCGCGGAGCGCCUCGCGCGCGUCGCGUGCUGUGCGGACAACGUGCAUUGGUGUGCAUAUCCUCUACUGUUACUCAAAAUAAAACUUCUGAGGC